CGUCCCAAAAACAAAAACAAAAAUCAUUUUCCUCCUCGCACUCCCGAUUCGAGAAAGCUAAUUUAAUCCGCGCUCCUGUUUCUCACCAUCCAUCAGGAAUAAUGAAUCGUCACGAUCCUCGUCGCCGAAGCCCGCAAACAGCAACGGUGGCAGCAGCAUCGAUGAGAAGCCGCGUGAGGAGGAGAAUCCGCGCCGCCACCUGCGACGCGAUUCUCCCAAUCCGAGCGGUCAGUGUUGGCAUGAGCUGAGGUCCAGGAGCUAGUUAUUCCUUCGGCCAUGUCUCAAAUCCAGAGCACCUCUCGGCAGAACUGCGUUAUCCUUGCUGUUCGAUGUGGGAGGUUCGCCGAGAAGCAGCAGACGCCGGCUCGCCUGGCGCCUGAGCCGAAGCGGGUGUGUCCAUCCUACCCCUUCCCGGAGCUCGUCUCCUGUGGGAGAUUAGAGGUGCACAUGCUGAUCAAUCCCUCAGUUGAGCAAUUUAGAGAGGCGCAGCAGGCGGUGCAACCUAACUUGUUGUAUCUUCAGGGGCAGCAGCUAGACAAUUAGGAGAUAGGUUCACUCGUUUGGGGCGAUACUGAUUUAUCUGACCUGCAGACAUUUAGCUCACUCAUCAGCCCACCAUUUCCGACAAUAGUUUAUUUGGAAGUUCCCAUAGGGGAAAAGUUUGCCCAGUCACUUCAUUCAAAGGGGAUACCAUAUGUAAUAUAUUGGAGGAAAUCAUUUCCAUGUUAUGCAGCAUCUCAUUUUCUCCAAGCAUUAAUGUCAGUCAUUCAAAGGUAUCACUACCAUAAAUACAUUAUUGGUCUGUGCCGGUGCCACUUUUUUUUUAUUUCACAUCUAACAUUCAGGUAUUCUGGAUGUAGUUCCUGCAGCCAUACAUGGGAUGCAUUUCAACUUGCACAUGCCUCGUUUCGACUAUAUUGUGUAAGAAACAAUUAUGUACAAAGUGUUAAGCUUGGCCCUCGCCUACUUGGGGAUGCUCCAAAAAUAAAUAUCAUCCCUGCUGAGAAUGAUGUGGAUAAGGAAGAAGGUUGUUCUGAAGCUUUUCUGGCUAUUAAAAUAUAUGAUGAAGAUGUGAACAUGAAAUUUCUUGUCUGUGGAGUGCCAUGCACCUUGGAUGCAUGUUUGUUGGGCGCACUGGAGGAUGGUUUGAAUGCUCUGUUGAAUAUUGAGAUUCGUGGGAGUAAACUUCAGAACCGAGUCAGUGCUGCUGCUCCGCCUCUACAAGCUGAAACUCUUUCACAUGGGGUUGUUACCAUGCGCUGUGAUAUCACAACAUGCAGUUCUUCACAUGUGUCACUUCUUGUUUCUGGUAGUGCUCAAACUUGUUUUGAUGAUCAGCUUUUAGAGAGCCAUAUCAAGAAUGAAAUUAUUAAGAGCCAACUAGUUCGUGCUCUAUCGAAUGGUGAUGAUAAUAAGUCAUCUUCAGCUGAGCCUUUGCCGUCCAUGUGCUUGGCUUGUGGAGCUUCUACUUUUGAAGUCUGGAUGACCCUGCCAAAAUGGGCAGCGCAGGUUUUGAAACAUCUUGCGCCAGAAAUCUCUUACAGAAGCUUGGUUGCGCUUGGAAUUGCUUGUGUAAAUGGCACACCCGUGUCUUCAUUUGACAGGAAGGAUGCAGAUCGUCUUCUUUUCUUUUGCUCUAACCAGCACAAAGAUCAAGUGAUUCAAAACACUCCAUGUGCGUAUCUAUCACGAUGGUCAGCCUCCCUUACUAAGGAUAGAAUCACUGGAAGUCUCAAGUCAAAACAAAUUUCAUUUGAUGCAAAUGGAGUUAGAGAGGAUAAUAAGCAUCUUACUGAAGGGUCUUCUCUUUCAUCCUUGAAGCCAAGGUUAAAGCCUGCAACAAUUAGACCCCUUCCCCACUCUCCCAAGCAACAAAUGCAUCUCUUUAUGGGUUUACCUCAGUCUACCAUUCAUGAUGCUAGUCAAGUUAAGCCUAGCUUGCCAGCCCCUCCACCUGUAAAGCAUAGUGUGUUACCUGUUGUCCCAGCUACUCAAAGAAAAUCAUCAUCUCGGCUGUCGCAUGUUCAACCAUCAGUUCUACUGAAUCCUCUGCCAAUGAAGAAACAUGGGUGCGAUCGGUCGCCUAUCCGCAUUUGCUCUGAAGAAGACUUCUUGAAAGAUGUCAUGCAGUUUCUACUUCAGAGAGGCCACACCCGACUCAUACCUCAAGGUGGACUGGCUGAAUUUCCUGAUUCAGUCUUAAAUACAAAACGCCUUGAUUUAUAUAAUUUAUACAAAGAGGUGGUAUCCCGAGGUGGCUUUUAUGUAGGCAAUGGCAUAAAUUGGAAAGGUCAAGUCUUUUCAAAGAUGCGCAACCAUACAGUUACAAACAAAAUGACAGGUGUAGGGAACACACUAAAGAGGCACUACGAGACAUAUUUGCUGGAAUAUGAACUUGCACAUGACGAUGUUGAUGGGGAGUGUUGCUUGAUUUGCCACAGUAGUGCUCUGGGCGACUGGGUGAACUGUGGGUUAUGUGGAGAAUGGGCCCACUUUGGCUGUGAUAGACGGCAAGGGCUGGGCACUUUCAAGGACUAUGCGAAGACAGAUGGGUUGGAAUAUAUUUGCCCCCAGUGUAGCCUUGCGAAAAGCAAAAAGCCACCACUGCCCGUUAGAGUAGGCAAUGGCUUAGCCGCCUCUGGACCACGAAUUGUAAAUUAACUUACGUUAUUUUUUCUUCUCCCAUUGCCUUUUGUCCCAUUUUUUGGUGGUGAUUGUUUGGGUAGAUAAUAUUAGCCGAGCAUAUGUAGUGUUCUUUUUUUAGGAGAUAGCAUGUGUAGUGUUGAUCUGUGUUAUCAUUUAAUCCGUAGGUUCCAAAGUUAUAAUGUAGCUUGUAAUCAUUGGCAACUCAUGAACUUCAGAAUUUUGUGGCCAGAUAACUUAUUUGUGAUAGUUGAAUCUGGGAUACUUUUGUUAGGGAUAUAUUGGUAACCA